UAGCGAAGGGGGCUAGCGUUGCUCGGAAUCACUGGGCGUAAAGCGCACGUAGGCGGAUUGUUAAGUCAGGGGUGAAAUCCUGGAGCUCAACUCCAGAACUGCCUUUGAUACUGGCGAUCUUGAGUCCGGGAGAGGUGAGUGGAACUGCGAGUGUAGAGGUGAAAUUCGUAGAUAUUCGCAAGAACACCAGUGGCGAAGGCGGCUCACUGGCCCGGUACUGACGCUGAGGUGCGAAAGCGUGGGGAGCAACAGGG
rnacentral:rRNA from 1 species